rnacentral:rRNA from 1 species
UACGAAGGGGACUAGCGUUGUUCGGAUUUACUGGGCGUAAAGCGCGCGUAGGCGGAUCGCUAAGUCAGGGGUGAAAUCCCAGGGCUCAACCCUGGAACUGCCUUUGAUACUGACGGUCUGGAGAUCGGGAGAGGUUGGUGGAAUUCCGAGUGUAGAGGUGAAAUUCGUAGAUAUUCGGAGGAACACCAGAAGCGAAGGCGGCCAACUGGCCCGAUACUGACGCUGAGGAGCGAAAGCCAGGGGAGCAAACGGG